rnacentral:misc_RNA from 1 species
CCUCGGAAGCAUGCCUCUCUGAGUAUCGGUUUCUAUAUCUCACCAGAUGCGAGUGGUGGAAAAUGAGAGUCGCGGCCCUCGCGUCCCUUGAAAUUAUCUUGUCGGCACAAGUCCAUCGGAUUCUUGGAACGAUAAUCCGCCAUGCGCCCAAACCAUACACACAAGAUCUCAGAUGAGGUAAGACUACCCGCCGAAUUUAA